rnacentral:rRNA from 1 species
AUGGCGUCCUCCUCCGGUGCUUCCCAGCUUGGUCUCAGCGGCCAGGUUACAGAGAAGCUAUCCCGCACCAAUUACAUCCUCUGGCGCACGCAAGUCACGCCGCAGCUCAGAGGCGCGGGCGUCUUCGGCUAUGUCGACGGCGCUACACCGGAGCCGGCCAGGAUCCUCUCCACCAAGGACAAGGAAGGGAAGGAAUCCACCGAGCCAAAUCCUCUCCAUCCCAUCUGGGUGCGCGAGGAUCAGCAGGUGCUUGGAUACCUGCUGAACAACCUCACCAAGGAGGUGCUUGUGCAGGUGACCGCGAUCACCACGUCGCACGAGCUCUGGACGGCACUGUCAGGCAUGUUCUCCUCGCAGUCUCUCAGCCGCGUCAACAACAUCAGAACCUCCCUGGUGAACGCCCAGAAGGGCAACAAGACCGUCACCACCUACUUCGCCGAGAUGCGUGGCCUCGCCGACGAACUCACCGCCGCCGGGAAGCCGCUCUAG